rnacentral:rRNA from 1 species
AGUGAACGCUGGCGGUAGGCCUAACACAUGCAAGUCGAACGGCAGCACAGUAAGAGCUUGCUCUUACGGGUGGCGAGUGGCGGACGGGUGAGGAAUACAUCGGAAUCUACUUUUUCGUGGGGGAUAACGUAGGGAAACUUACGCUAAUACCGCAUACGACCUACGGGUGAAAGCAGGGGAUCUUCGGACCUUGCGCGAUUGAAUGAGCCGCUGUCGGAUUAGCUAGUUGGCGGGGUAAAGGCCCACCAAGGCGACGAUCCGUAGCUGGUGUGAGAGGAUGAUCAGCCACACUGGAACUGAGACACGGUCCUGACUCCUACGGGAGGCACCAGUGGGGAAUAUUGGGCGAUGGGCGCAAGCCUGAUCCAGCCAUACCGCGUGGGUGAAGAAGGCCUUCGGGUUGUAAAGCCCUUUUGUUGGGAAAGAAAAGCAGCAGGUUAAUACCACGCUGUUCUGACGGUACCCAAAGAAUAAGCACCGGCUAACUUCGUG